CCGGGAAAAGGCUGCCGGGAGAUCUUUCUGCGGCCUUCCAGGGUGUCCUGUGGGCUUGGAACAAAGGAGAGGGGAGUUUUACACGAGCAGGGACACAGCAACAGGCCAAAGGUCAAACAGUGGGCCUGCAACGUCAGCCUGAUUAUCCAAGCUACACCAACAGAGCAGACCAAGAUGCCUUCCUGCAUGUUUGAUGUUAAUUAGUGUGACAAAUGCCACUGGAAGAACAGCCCUGACCCAACCUGUGCAACCCUGGUGCAGCCUCAUCCCACCAACCAGGACUUUCCAAGGACACAAGAAGCUUCUGAAGUGUUUGCCUAAAGAUAACAAAGAGACAGUUAUCACUCAAAGCCAGCCUGCAAAACACAGAAGUACUGAAGUACAAGCUUUCAGCAAAUAAUGCUGCUCCAAGUGGAUAAUUACUGGUAUGUGCCUUCCUAGGCCUUCUGAGCCAACACUCAGCACGCCAAGGACUAGGAUCACACGUCCUAGUAGAGAUUUUGAGGAGUGAGGAGAUAAAAAGGAGCAGCAAAUGAGCCACUCAGGCUGAGAUGGGAAUUACAGCUCCAAAAUGAACAAGGAUCCUGAACAACAGAUGCACCUGAUCUAAUCUUUCCUUUGUCUUGGUGCUGGUAGGAAG